rnacentral:rRNA from 1 species
CAGCCGCCGCGGUAAUACGUAGGGUGCGAGCGUUAAUCGGAAUUACUGGGCGUAAAGCGUGCGCAGGCGGUUUGUUAAGACAGAUGUGAAAUCCCCGGGCUCAACCUGGGAAUGGCGCUUGUGACUGCAAAGCUAGAGUGCGGCAGAGGGGGAUGGAAUUCCGCGUGUAGCAGUGAAAUGCGUAGAUAUGCUGAGGAACACCGAUGACGAAGGCAAUCCCCUGGGCCUGCACUGACGCUCAUGCACGAAAGCGUGGGGAGCAAACAGGAUUAGAUACCCCGGUAGUCCCUGUCUCUUAUAC